GAGUUGCUUAGGGCCUUGCUAAGUUGCCUAGGCUGGCCUUGAACUUGAAAUCCUCCUGCCUCAGCCUCUGGAGUUUGGUAUUACAGGCAUGUGCCACCACACUCAGAGAGAAGAUGUAAUUGUGAGUAUUGCAUACUUCAGAGAGAUCCCACCAGAUGAGGGAGGAGGCUGAGUCAGACAACAAACCACUUUACUGGACCCUCUCCUAUGCUUUUUCAGCGGACACAACAUCUUUGUUUGUAUGUGGUGCUGAGGAUUGAACCCGGGCCGCACGCAUGCCAGGCGAGCACGCUACCGCUUGAGCCACAUCCCCAGCCCUCAUUUUUAAAUAUUUUGAGUUGAGCAUUAUAUACUAUAUACAUGUAAUAAAUUAUCAUACUGUACCUAAUAAAUAUGUACAAUUAUUCUAAUGACUAAU